GCACCGGCUUCAAAACCGGCGUUGGUUGGUGCCGGCGUGG
rnacentral:tRNA from 14 species